AAACGUAGUGUUUCGCUUUCUGAAGUGUCUUUGAAACGGAUAAGAAUGUGUUAUUUGUGUGUUUCGCGUAUGUUUGUGUAUUUAUACUAGAGCGUCAUGAUUGAAAUGGUACGCAACACCCAAAGUGCUAUGUAAAAGCAUUUUUCUCGUUCAAUAUCGUACACACAUCCCAAAUUAAACGAGCGCUGUGGUGUAUUAUAAGAAAUACAAACGAAAUUAUAAAACAAAUCUUAUAAGAAAAACAACGAACUACAAAGAAUAAGCACAAAAAGCUGUAUGUAUAAAUACAAAAACGAAGUCAACAUCGUUUCGUUGCAGCCGGUAUUCUGAGUAAUAAAUAGUGUGGACAUAAAAUAUUACAACUGUAAACCCAUCCAAGAUGACGCAACCGCUGCCCAUUCGCUUUCAGGAGCAUUUGCAGCUCACUAAUGUUGGUAUCAAUGCAAACUCGUUCUCCUUUAGUACGCUUACGAUGGAGUCGGAUAAGUUUAUUUGCGUACGUGAGAAGGUCAAUGAUACCGCUCAAGUGGUCAUCAUCGAUAUGAAUGAUUCGGCCAAUCCCACGAGGCGUCCCAUAUCAGCGGACUCGGCCAUCAUGAAUCCAGCGAGCAAGGUGAUUGCGCUCAAAGCGCAAAAGACACUGCAAAUUUUCAACAUUGAAAUGAAAUCGAAAAUGAAGGCGCAUACGAUGAACGAAGAUGUAGUGUUCUGGAAAUGGAUCUCUCUUAAUACGCUUGCUUUGGUGACAGAAACCUCCGUCUAUCAUUGGUCCAUGGAAGGUGACUCCAUGCCACAGAAAAUGUUUGAUAGACAUUCUUCAUUAAGCGGCUGCCAGAUUAUCAAUUAUCGCUGCAAUGCGUCACAGCAAUGGUUACUGCUCGUUGGGAUCUCUGCACUUUCCACUCGCGUUGCUGGCGCCAUGCAAUUGUAUUCUGUGGAGCGUAAAGUGUCGCAGGCUAUUGAGGGCCAUGCCGCCUCGUUUGCCACCUUUAAAAUCGAAGGCAACAAGGAGCCAACGACACUAUUCUGCUUUGCCGUGCGCACUGCAACUGGCGGUAAAUUGCACAUAAUUGAGGUGGGAACACCACCAAAUGGAAAUCAACCAUUCCCGAAGAAGGCCGUCGAUGUAUUUUUCCCGCCCGAAGCGCAAAAUGAUUUCCCUGUCGCCAUGCAGGUCUCUGCUAAGUACGAUACCAUCUAUUUGAUAACCAAAUAUGGCUAUAUACAUCUGUACGACAUGGAAACUGCCACUUGCAUCUACAUGAAUCGCAUAUCGGCGGAUACGAUUUUUGUGACUGCACCGCACGAGGCUAGCGGUGGCAUCAUUGGCGUCAAUCGAAAAGGUCAAGUGUUGUCAGUGACCGUCGACGAAGAGCAGAUCAUUCCCUAUAUAAACACAGUGCUUCAAAAUCCCGAUCUAGCUUUGCGCAUGGCAGUACGCAAUAAUCUUGCAGGUGCCGAAGAUUUAUUCGUGCGCAAAUUCAAUAAACUCUUCUCCGCCGGUCAAUAUGCCGAGGCUGCUAAAGUAGCAGCUCUGGCGCCUAAGGGAAUUUUGCGUACUCCUCAGACAAUACAACGUUUCCAGCAGGUGCAAACGCCAGCGGGCUCCACAACGCCGCCAUUAUUGCAAUACUUUGGCAUACUGCUCGAUCAAGGCAAACUGAAUAAGUACGAAUCACUAGAGCUGUGCCGCCCAGUGCUGGUUCAGGGUAAAAAGCAGCUAUGUGAGAAGUGGCUAAAGGAGGAAAAACUCGAAUGCAGUGAAGAGUUGGGUGAUCUUGCAAAAACCUCGGAUCUAACAUUGGCUCUGUCGAUUUAUUUACGUGCCAAUGUACCCAACAAGGUUAUACAAUGCUUUGCUGAGACGGGGCAAUUCCAGAAGAUUGUGCUCUAUGCCAAAAAGGUUAACUACACGCCUGACUAUAUAUUUUUGUUGCGCUCAGUAAUGCGUACCAAUCCAGAGCAAGGAGCUGGUUUCGCCUCAAUGCUAGUGGCUGAGGAAGAACCACUGGCGGACAUCAAUCAAAUUGUAGACAUUUUUAUGGAGCACUCUAUGGUGCAGCAAUGCACAGCUUUCCUGCUGGACGCCCUCAAGCACAAUCGACCAGCCGAAGGGGCAUUGCAGACACGUCUUCUUGAGAUGAAUCUUAUGUCAGCACCUCAGGUGGCAGAUGCCAUUUUAGGAAAUGCGAUGUUCACUCACUACGAUCGGGCACACAUUGCCCAGCUUUGUGAGAAGGCCGGACUGCUGCAACGCGCCCUUGAGCACUAUACGGAUCUGUAUGACAUUAAGCGGGCAGUGGUGCACACGCAUAUGUUAAAUGCCGAAUGGUUAGUCAGUUUCUUUGGUACACUAUCAGUGGAGGAUUCUCUGGAGUGUUUGAAGGCUAUGCUUACGGCUAAUCUGCGGCAAAAUCUGCAAAUUUGUGUUCAAAUCGCCACCAAAUACCACGAACAACUCACUACAAAGGCGCUUAUUGAUUUGUUUGAGAGUUUCAAAAGCUACGAUGGCCUAUUCUACUUCCUUAGCUCCAUUGUAAAUUUCUCGCAAGAUCCCGAGGUCCAUUUCAAGUAUAUACAGGCUGCUUGCAAGACCAAUCAGAUCAAGGAGGUGGAGCGCAUCUGUCGCGAAUCAAACUGCUAUAAUCCGGAGCGUGUUAAGAACUUUCUUAAGGAGGCCAAGUUGACAGACCAGCUACCUCUGAUCAUUGUGUGCGAUCGCUUUGAUUUUGUCCAUGAUCUGGUGCUUUAUUUAUAUCGAAACAAUUUGCAAAAGUAUAUUGAGAUUUAUGUGCAGAAGGUUAAUCCAUCACGUCUGCCUGUUGUCGUUGGUGGUCUGUUGGACGUGGAUUGCAGCGAGGACAUUAUCAAGAAUCUAAUACUGGUCGUUAAGGGACAGUUUUCCACUGACGAAUUGGUGGAGGAAGUGGAGAAACGGAAUAGGCUGAAGUUGUUGCUGCCUUGGUUGGAGUCUCGCGUUCACGAGGGAUGUGUGGAACCGGCAACACACAAUGCCCUGGCCAAAAUCUACAUUGAUUCAAACAAUAAUCCCGAGCGUUUCCUCAAGGAGAACCAAAACUAUGACAGUCGCGUGGUUGGACGUUAUUGCGAGAAGCGUGAUCCCCACUUAGCAUGUGUCGCCUAUGAACGUGGUCAGUGCGAUCGCGAGCUUAUCGCCGUAUGCAAUGAAAACUCGCUGUUUAAAAGCGAGGCGCGUUAUUUGGUGGGUCGUCGUGAUGCUGAACUGUGGGCCGAAGUCCUAUCCGAGGCUAAUCCGUAUAAACGUCAGCUAAUCGAUCAGGUGGUUCAAACUGCAUUGUCUGAAACCCAGGAUCCGGAUGAUAUUUCCGUGACGGUGAAAGCGUUCAUGCGUGCUGAUCUGCCAAAUGAGCUAAUCGAGCUUCUGGAGAAGAUCAUUCUUGAUUCGUCAGUGUUUAGUGACCAUCGCAAUUUGCAAAAUCUACUUAUCCUCACAGCGAUUAAAGCUGACCGUACCCGUGUUAUGGACUACAUUAAUAGGCUUGACAAUUAUGAUGCGCCUGACAUCGCCAACAUUGCGAUUAGUAAUCAGCUUUAUGAGGAGGCUUUUGCCAUUUUCAAGAAGUUCGAUGUGAACACAUCAGCCAUUCAAGUGCUUAUCGAUCAGGUGAACAAUUUGGAGCGUGCAAAUGAAUUUGCCGAGCGUUGCAAUGAGCCUGCUGUUUGGUCUCAGCUGGCUAAGGCUCAACUUCAGCAGGGCCUUGUCAAGGAGGCCAUUGAUUCGUAUAUCAAGGCCGAUGAUCCUAGUGCCUACAUGGAUGUGGUAGAUGUGGCCUCUAAGGUGGACUCAUGGGACGAUUUGGUUCGCUAUUUGCAAAUGGCCCGCAAAAAGGCACGCGAAUCCUAUAUUGAAAGCGAACUCAUCUAUGCCUAUGCCCGCACCAAUCGCCUGGCCGAUCUAGAAGAGUUCAUAUCGGGCCCUAAUCAUGCGGAUAUACAAAAGAUUGGCGAUCGAUGCUUCAGUGAUCGCAUGUACGAACCGGCAAAAUUACUGUACAACAAUGUCAGUAACUUUGCACGACUAGCUAUAACCCUGGUGUAUUUAAAGGAAUUUCAAGGUGCUGUCGAUUCAGCACGGAAGGCCAAUUCAACGCGCACCUGGAAGGAAGUUUGCUUUGCGUGCGUGGAUGCUGAGGAGUUUAGGUUGGCACAAAUGUGCGGCCUACACAUUGUUGUUCAUGCCGAUGAGUUGGAGGAUCUAAUAAAUUACUAUCAAAAUCGUGGAUAUUUCGAGGAACUAAUUGCGCUUCUUGAAUCUGCGCUGGGUCUGGAGCGUGCACACAUGGGCAUGUUUACCGAAUUGGCAAUACUGUACUCCAAAUUCAAGCCGUCAAAGAUGCGCGAACAUUUGGAGCUUUUCUGGUCGCGCGUCAACAUACCCAAGGUACUAAGGGCUGCCGAAUCGGCGCAUUUGUGGUCCGAGUUGGUUUUCCUAUAUGACAAGUAUGAGGAAUACGAUAAUGCUGUGCUGGCUAUGAUGGCCCACCCUACGGAAGCAUGGCGCGAGGGUCACUUCAAAGACAUUAUUACCAAGGUGGCUAACAUUGAGCUUUACUACAAGGCAAUUGAGUUCUAUUUGGAUUUCAAACCGCUGCUGUUGAACGACAUGUUAUUAGUUUUAGCGCCGCGUAUGGAUCACACCCGUGCCGUAAGCUCCUUCUCUAAGACGGGCUACCUGCCGCUUGUAAAGCCCUACUUGCGUUCUGUACAAUCGCUUAACAAUAAAGCUAUCAAUGAAUCACUUAACGGUCUGCUUAUCGAUGAGGAGGAUUACCAGGGAUUGCGGAAUUCCAUUGAUGGUUUUGACAAUUUUGAUACCAUUGCACUAGCACAGAAACUGGAGAAACACGAACUGACCGAAUUCAGACGCAUAGCAGCGUAUUUGUACAAAGGAAACAAUCGCUGGAAGCAAAGCGUGGAGCUUUGCAAAAAGGACAAAUUGUACAAGGACGCAAUGGAAUAUGCUGCCGAGUCAGGCAAACAGGAAAUCGCUGAGGAAUUGUUGGGUUGGUUCCUGGAACGCAGCGCUCACGAUUGCUUUGCGGCGUGUCUUUAUCAGUGUUAUGACUUGCUUCGUCCUGAUGUCAUCCUCGAACUGGCAUGGAAACAUAAAAUCAUGGACUUCGCCAUGCCCUAUUUGAUACAGGUUCUGCGCGAGUACACUAUUAAAGUGGACAAACUUGAACUGACUGAGGCGCAGCGCGAAAAAGAAGAUGAUACCACGGAGCAUAAAAACAUAAUAUCCAUGGAGCCACAAUUAAUGAUUACAGCUGGUCCGACCAUGGGAAUACCGCCACAAUAUGCGCAAAAUUAUCCGCCUGCUGCUGCCGCAUCGGCUGCGAGAAACAUGGGCUAUCCAUAUUUGUAGGCAUCCAACAAGAGCAAAAAGACAACUGAAACUUUAACUACCCACAAAAAUCACUACAAGAACAUCAAAUGUAGCAGCAGUAGCAUUGUCACAACUACAACAACGCCCACGAAUUGCAUGCGCGCCAAACGACCAAUAGCAUACACACCAACAACAUACUACAUGCGCUAUAUAUAUGUAGUUUUACCUGUUGAUUCAGCUGAUUAUGUAAAACAUCAAUAUUGCGUUAACACAACUCGCAACACAUUUACAACCAACUAAGAUGCGUGCGGAUUCAACAGGGGACGAACACCAAUAACUUUCAAGAGAAACAACAAUAACAACAACAAAAAGUGGAAUAUUAGCAAUGUUGUGUAGCAGUGUAAAAAGGGGCGCAAUUUGUUAUUGAUUAUUUUAAUUUUAGGAAACUAAAUACAUAAAAUAAAUAAAAACAAGCAUAAAGGUAGCAAAAAGAAUAAAUGCACACAUUUAAUAUAUAUAUUAAAUAACGAAAUGGAAACAAAAACAAGCAAGCGACAAUAUUCAAUAAAAGCUCGCAAAGCUCAGUUGUACAAGUACGCCAACAUGUGUUGAAAUACAAUUUAUUAUUCACACAGAAUUAAAUAAUUAUUAAAACAUUACACAUUCACGAUAUCGAUAUCAAAAAAACCACACAUUCGAAAAUUUCAAAAGUUUAGAAUUUAAAUUUUAAAAAAAGAUCACAUUAAAUUAGCCGGUUAAAAUUAUUAAACAAUUUAAUAAUUAAUUGUAAAGAUAUAUAUGUGUGUAUAUGUGCAUAUAUGAAUAUGCGCGCAUAUAUACGAUAUUCAAUGGUAAUUAUAUCCUUAUAUGUAAUGCAACAAAAGUCUAUGUAUUUGUGUUGUGAGGUCUUAUUUUCGCCCGCUCAACUUUAUUUCCCGGAUAAUUCUUGUUCUCUCUUUUAAUUCGAAGAAAUACGUAAAACAUGUUCUUAUAAAUAUUUAAUAAAGUUGCAAAUUAUCUCGUAUUUACAUUAAAUGUGGAA